rnacentral:rRNA from 1 species
GUCCAGACUCCUACGGGAGGCAGCAGUGGGGAAUAUUGCACAAUGGGGGAAACCCUGAUGCAGCGACGCCGCGCGAGUGAAGAAGUAUUUCGGUAUGUAAAGCUCUAUCAGCAGGGAAGAUAAUGACGGUACCUGACUAAGAAGCCCCGGCUAACUACGUGCCAGCAGCCGCGGUAAUACGUAGGGGGCAAGCGUUAUCCGGAUUUACUGGGUGUAAAGGGUGCGUAGGUGGCAGGGCAAGUCAGAUGUGAAAGCCCGGGGCUCAACCCCGGUACUGCAUUUGAAACUGUCCAGCUGGAGUGCAGGAGAGGUAAGCGGAAUUCCUAGUGUAGCGGUGAAAUGCGUAGAUAUUAGGAGGAACACCAGUGGCGAAGGCGGCCUGCUGGACGAUGACUGACGUUGAGGCUCGAAAGCGUGGGGAGCAAACAGGAUUAGAUCCCCUUGUA